GCCGGGCAUGAUGGCGGGUGCCUGUAAUCCCAGCUACUCGGGAGGCUGAGGUGGGAGAAUCGCUUGAACCCAGGAGUUGGAGGUUGCAGUGAGCCGAGAUCAUGCCAUUGCACUCCAGCUUGGGUGACAGAGUGAGACCCCAUCUCAA
rnacentral:sRNA from 1 species